rnacentral:rRNA from 1 species
GAGCGGUAGAGAGAAGCUUGCUUUUCUUGAGAGCGGCGGACGGGUGAGUAAUGCCUAGGAAUCUGCCUGGUAGUGGGGGAUAACGUUCGGAAACGGACGCUAAUACCGCAUACGUCCUACGGGAGAAAGCAGGGGACCUUCGGGCCUUGCGCUAUCAGAUGAGCCUAGGUCGGAUUAGCUAGUUGGUGAGGUAAUGGCUCACCAAGGCGACGAUCCGUAACUGGUCUGAGAGGAUGAUCAGUCACACUGGAACUGAGACACGGUCCAGACUCCUACGGGAGGCAGCAGUGGGGAAUAUUGGACAAUGGGCGAAAGCCUGAUCCAGCCAUGCCGCGUGUGUGAAGAAGGUCUUCGGAUUGUAAAGCACUUUAAGUUGGGAGGAAGGGUUGUAGAUUAAUACUCUGCAAUUUUGACGUUAC